rnacentral:rRNA from 1 species
CGUAGGAGGCAAGCGUUAUCCGGAUUCACUGGGCGUAAAGCGCGUGCAGGUGGCGCGGUAAGUUGGGUGUGAAAUCUCCCGGCUCAACUGGGAGAGGUCAUUCAAUACUACCGUGCUUGAGAGCAGAAGAGGAAGAUGGAAUUCCCGGUGUAGUGGUGAAAUGCGUAGAUAUCGGGAGGAACACCAGUGGCGAAGGCGAUCUUCUGGUCUGUUUCUGACACUCAUACGCGACAGCUAGGGUAGUAAACGGGAUUAGAGACCCCGGUAAUCCUAGCCGUAAACGAUGUGAACUUGGCGUUGGUGGGUUAAACUCCAUCAGUGCCGCAGCAAACGCGAUAAGUUCACCGCCUGGGGACUACGGCCGCAAGGUUA